UGUCCAGGAAUGGGAAUCGAACCCACAGUGUUCCGCUUACAGGGCAGAUGCCAUGUCCACUAAGCUACCUCAUC